UUUUUUUUUUAUCAGCAAAGAAUUAAUUUAAAUUAAGGGGAUACAAAAGGGGUAUCCCAACCCUUUACAAAACCCAAACCUUGUUUUCUACGCACACACGGAGAUCGCCGCUUCAUUUCUAGGACGGCGAUGAUGCACAACUUCGGCGACCACCGACUACACACGCACGGAGAUCGCCGCUUCAUCGACCGGAGAUCAUGUUGGCCACGGUGAUGAUGCAUACCUUCG
rnacentral:lncRNA from 1 species